GAUGGUUGAAGGAGCAUGAUGCCUAGCGAGCUCGAAUAACACUUUUAUCAAUUUUUCAGAAUCACCACGCCAUUUGCUAACAACUGAUGAUGCUGAGAUAUUGAAAAAUGUGGUAUUGCAUUCAGUUGCAACUGCCUUCGCAAGCAUGGUCUUUCCUGUUCCAGGAGGGCCAAAAAGGAGGAUACCUUUCCAAGGAGUUAAAAGACCUUUAAAAUACUUUGGAU
rnacentral:misc_RNA from 1 species